UACAGAGGUGGCAAGCGUUGUUCGGAAUUACUGGGCGUAAAGCGUGCGCAGGCGGUUCGUUGUGUCCGAUGUGAAAGCCCCGGGCUUAACCUGGGAAUGGCAUUGGAAACUGGCGGGCUUGAGUGCGGCAGAGGGGGGUGGAAUUCCGCGUGUAGCAGUGAAAUGCGUAGAGAUGUGGAGGAACACCGAUGGCGAAGGCAGCCCCCUGGGAUGACACUGACGCUCAUACACGAAAGCGUGGGGAGCAAACAGG
rnacentral:rRNA from 1 species